rnacentral:tRNA from 1 species
GGGCGGAUAGUUUAGUGGUAUAAUACUCCCUUAGCAUGUCUUUUCCGAAGGGAAUACGAUCUGGGAGUGGUCCGGGGUUCGAUUCCCCGUUCGUCCA